GCGCUCGUAGCUCAGUGGAUAGAGUGACGGAUUCCGAUUCCGGAGGUCGCAGGUUCAAAUCCUGUCGAGCGCACCA
rnacentral:tRNA from 1 species